AGCGAACGCUGGCGGCAGGCUUAACACAUGCAAGUCGAACGGGCGUAGCAAUACGUCAGUGGCAGACGGGUGAGUAACGCGUGGGAACGUACCUUUUGGUUCGGAACAACCCAGGGAAACUUGGGCUAAUACCGGAUAAGCCCUUACGGGGAAAGAUUUAUCGCCGAAAGAUCGGCCCGCGUCUGAUUAGCUAGUUGGUGAGGUAACGGCUCACCAAGGCGACGAUCAGUAGCUGGUCUGAGAGGAUGAUCAGCCACAUUGGGACUGAGACACGGCCCAAACUCCUACGGGAGGCAGCAGUGGGGAAUAUUGGACAAUGGGCGCAAGCCUGAUCCAGCCAUGCCGCGUGAGUGAUGAAGGCCCUA
rnacentral:rRNA from 1 species